CUCACAGUCCUAGAGUCUGGGAGUCCAUGUCCAAGGUGCAGGAGUGUGUCUCCUAGGUGAUUCCAAGCCCAUCGCGUUGACGGUGAAGACUAACCAUCUCAGUUCACAGCUAGAAGAUGAGACACCAGCCUCACCAUUCCCUUCAAAGACGCAUCGCCUGUGGCACCCCUCCCCCAUUCAAAGACGCAUCGCCUGUGACACCACCUCUCCCCCAUUCAAAGACGCAUCACUUGUGACACCCCUCCCCCAAACAUCCACCAUUUAUCUAAUGCCAUGCUGGGAAGCAAGCCUUUAUUACACAGGCCUUUAGGGGACCGGAUGGAGUAGCUAUGUAAUAAAAGUUUGUCCGUGCCCUGAGCAUGUGUAUAGCAUUGAG
rnacentral:lncRNA from 1 species